UGUAGGAGUGAGCCUGCUCGCGAUAGUGGUUCGUCAUUCAACAUUUAUGUCGACUGAUGUACCGCUAUCGCGAGCAGGCUCACUCCUACA
rnacentral:misc_RNA from 1 species